UACGGAGGGUGCGAGCGUUGUCCGGAAUCAUUGGGCGUAAAGGGCGCGUAGGUGGCUUCUUAAGCGUGCGGUGAAAGCCUGGGGCUCAACCCCGGGUCGGCCGUGCGAACUGGGGGGCUGGAGCACUGUAGAGGCAGGCGGAAUUCCGGGUGUAGCGGUGGAAUGCGUAGAGAUCCGGAAGAACACCGGUGGCGAAGGCGGCUCGCUGGGCUUUACCUGACGCUGAGGCGCGAAAGCGUGGGGAGCGAACCGG
rnacentral:rRNA from 1 species